rnacentral:rRNA from 1 species
AUUGAACGCUGGCGGCAUGCCUUACACAUGCAAGUCGAACGGCAGCACGGACUUCGGUCUGGUGGCGAGUGGCGAACGGGUGAGUAAUGUAUCGGAACGUACCUUUCAGUGGGGGAUAACGUAGCGAAAGUUACGCUAAUACCGCAUAUUCUGUGAGCAGGAAAGCAGGGGAUCGCAAGACCUUGCGCUGAUUGAGCGGCCGAUAUCAGAUUAGCUAGUUGGUGGGGUAAAGGCCUACCAAGGCGACGAUCUGUAGCGGGUCUGAGAGGAUGAUCCGCCACACUGGAACUGAGACACGGUCCAGACUCCUACGGGAGGCAGCAGUGGGGAAUUUUGGACAAUGGGGGCAACCCUGAUCCAGCCAUGCCGCGUGAGUGAAGAAGGCCU